AAAAAGAUAUAUAUGGGAUUUUUCAUAAGCCCCUAUUGGCUACUGUUUUCUAUGUGAACACUGAGUAAACUGUCUUUAAACCGAGACAAAACAUAUUUUUUAGUUUUUCACAAAGUGACCACCUGUUGUCUGUUGUCAUAACUGAAAUGGUUUGCUCUGUAGGUGUGGCCACUUUGCCUUAAAAAGGUUUUAUCCAAAACAAUUACAAAUUAAAUGACCAAAAAAAAAAAAAAUGUGGCCAAUAUCAUCCCAACAUUCAGUGUAUAUCAUUCCAUUGUGCCAAUAUAAUCGCCCAACCACUGCACUUGCUUCAACCUCAUCCAAAACAACAUCUGUCCAUUUCCGCCCAAUCUUUUCUGUUUUUUUUUUUAUCCUGUUCGACAUCAUACUUAACGGGGCGUCCCCAGCUGUCCCGAAGAGAACAGAGAGGAAAAUCACAUCAGCACUACAAGGCCAAACAGCAGCGUACGAUGUCAACAACAGGAGGCAGUAUAUCUUAAGCCAGGAUAUGACAAUCCUCUGCAGAACAGUGACCGAGCUGGUGAACACACAGGGAACCAGAAGAGCUGAGAGAACCAUUUCAUAUCACAGUGGAACGACCCAGUGCUACGUGUAGGCGAUGGAAGCACUGGAGCGGCUGAGAUACAAACAUGCACAAACUGAAAUCUACACACCAAAGCCGAGCUAUGCCGAAUCACACCGCAUGGGACGGAUGGCAGAUACGGGAAAGACCAACAUGUUCACAGCAUGUCGUCAGCUCAAGACAGUUGUGUGAUCACAAAGUUUUUUUGUGUGAGGGUUAAAAAUACUUGAGAACAUAACAGUAUCAAUUAAAUUUUGUCUUUAACAACACUGAAGAAUAGUCUUUGGCUAACAUGUGGCAUCCAUGUUUCUCUGGUAUCGGGCACUUGUGCAAAGCUUAGUCAUAAUUACAAGUAGGGUGUUGAUGUGAACACUACUUACACGCAGGAAACUGGUAAUCAUUUGGCAUGAGUACACAACAAAUUAAUGUACUUCUCGGCUUUACUUUGUGCCAGAGGACGUUCUGUAAAAAACUUAAUUCGACUGCCAAUUAAACUACACAAAGUCAAAAUAUAUCUUUAAAGAUAUUUUACUUUUUUUGUUUUUUUGCGAUUGUCUUCUCUCCACCAUCUACAA